CAUCUCACCGAAGUCUACUCGAACACCGCAUCGAAAGCAGACUUUGAAAAUGGCGUCAAAAACCAUGAUUACUCUCUACUUUCUGAUUGCCUUGGCCGUGGCAGCAAGUGCGUUGAAUGUCGAAGAGAACAGACCCGGAAGGAGAAGCAUCAAGGAAGAUGAGAUCGACAUUUCUAAUGCGUUGAAUGUCGAGGAAAAUGACAGACAGAGCGAUUGUAAAAACGUCGGUGGAUUAAUAGCGAAAAGACUAGGUUGUGAUGGGUAAAAGUAGCAUUGAGAAGUUCGAGAAGCAUACUAGCUGGAUCUUUUCCAUGUGGUCAGACGUCUUCUCUGUUUGUUGAGACUUUUGUCAACUUGAUGCGAGAAAAAAAAAACCAUCGGUGAUCAGUCAUCACUGACGUUAACAUUAGCCCAACCAAUUCAUAAUUUUGCCUCUAAAAUAUAUAAAUACAAUUUGAAUCUCGUUUCAAAUGUAAAGUAUCAAUAUGCCUACAUGUAGCCCAAUCAAGGGCGGAUCCAGGGGGGCCCGGUUCCCCCUGGAAAAAACACAUGUAAAACACGUUAAUUUCACCUUUUUUCGGAGAUGGACCCCCCCUUGCCCUCAAGUGCAAAUUUUCGAGGGCCCCCCCCCCC